rnacentral:rRNA from 1 species
GGAGGGUGCGAGCGUUGUUCGGAAUCACUGGGCGUAAAGCGCGUGUAGGCGGCCCGUUAAGUCUGAUGUGAAAGCCCGGGGCUCACCCCCGGAAGGGCAUUGGAAACUGGCGGACUAGAGUCUCGGAGAGGAGGGUGGAAUUCCUGGUGUAGCGGUGAAAUGCGUAGACACCAGGAGGAACACCGGUGGCGAAGGCGGCCCUCUGGACGAUGACUGACGCUGAGACGCGAAAGCGUGGGGAGCAAACAGGAUUAGAUACCCUGGUAGUCCACGCCGUAAACGAUGAGCACUAGGUGUCGCGGGUAUUGACCCCCUGCGGUGCCCGCCGCUAACGCAUUAAGUGCUCCGCCUGGGGACUACGGCCGCAAGGCUA